ensembl:lncRNA
GUGAUAAUCUACCACUCCGGGAGUCUGCAUUAUUUAUAUUAGUCUCCAUAAGGAAUAGAAAACGAGUAUCUAUAACAUGUAUACUACAACAACAUGAAUUAUAAUAUGUGUUGUUUACCCAGAACCCUGUGUUGUUCAUUGAGUUUGUGAACUACGGGAACCCUGCGGCACUUCCUUCAGACCCACAGAGACAAACUGACCCCUGACCCUGAGCUACAGAGUCUGCUCACCAUCGCCUCUUAUCACAUCACACUGGCCAUGGAACACCUCCGAUCCAAAAUGGUACCCAGUUUCCUCCUCUUCCCACUCAUUCCUUAUGACUGGAUCAGUGUCUCACACACAGGUCAGUCAGUUACACCCACAGGUCAGUGUUUCACACACUGGCCAUGGAACACCUCCAAUCCAAAAUGGUACCCAGUUUCCUCCUCCUCCCACUCAUUCCUUAUGACUGGGUCAGUCUCUCACACAGGUCAGUCAGUUACACCCACAGGUCAGUGUCUCACACACAGGUCAGUCAGUUACACCCACGGGUCAGUGUCUCACACACAGGUCAGUCAGUUACACCCACGGGUCAGUGUCUCACACACAGGUCAGUCAGUUACACCCACGGGUCAGUGUCUCACACACUGGCAGAAACCACAGGAAACACCUACGGGUCAAACUUUAUACGGUAGCAAAUUUUCGGGGAUAGCCCAGUCACAGGGACAUUGGCAAUGCUUUUUAGCACAGGAUUAGGCUUGAUCUGUCCCAGGAAACCGGGCCUCCCAGGAAACCGGGCCCAAAUGGGUUGAUAGUCUAAGUGUGAGUUUUAAAGGGUAACUGUUUCCAAUGUGUGGUUGUGUUCGUCUAGUCUUUAUUUACCCAGAACAUGUCUCCUUCCUGAACAUAACCCAGACAGACCCCUCUCUGAAAUACUUGAUGUAGGUUUUAUUUUUUAUUUAUUUUUGUAUUCAAGGGUUUCGUCACAAAUGGCACCCUAUUCAAUCAGUGCAUUCCUUCUGACCAGAGCCCGAUAAGGGCACUAUAUAGGGAAUCGGGUGUAAUUUGGGAUGCAGGUUCUCUCUCCCUCUGACAGCUGGGUGGAACCGUAGCCUUCCAGGUGCUGUCCUUCACGGAUGGUGAGAAUGAUUCUGUGAGCAGCCUUCCGGUCUCUUCUUCCUCAGUUGAACCCAUACAAAUGUAAUCCUCCCAGCGGUCUGAGGCUCUGCAUCGCAGUUCUGAUGUUCCACUGGGAUGGGCGUUUGAUCCGUGACCGGGAGUGCCAUAGGGCGGAGUACAGUUGGCCCAGCGCCGUCCGUGGUAGGGGAGGGUUUGACCAGGGGGGGGGGAGUUUCCUUGGAUCAUCGGGCCGGGUACCUGGAAGCUGACUUCGGUCUUCGGGCGGACUGUGUUUCCUCCGAAACAUUGGUGUGGCUGGCUUCCAGGUUAAGUGAGCAGUGGGUUAAGAAGCAGCACGGCUUGGCGGGUCAUGUUUCCGAGGACCCACGGCUCGACCUUCGCCUCUCCUGAGUCCGUUGGGAAGUUGCAGCGACAAGACAAAGGUCAAAACUAGAAAUUGGGGAGAAAAAUAAGUAGAAUAUUCUAGGAUUCUAGUUCUAUGGUUGAACAUCUGAAGCUCUUUUGUUCUCUCAUAGGGGUGCAUCCCAAUAGACUAGAGUCUUUAGCUUCAUCUGCACCGAUAUGAAAUAUGUGGACUGGGUAUAGACAGUAAAACUUCCUGUAAGCAUCCUGUAUGUUACACCUGUCCUGUGUCUUUAGGGGCGGCAGGUAGCCUAGUGGUUUAAAGGGGAGGCAGGUAGCCUAGUGGUUUAGAGGGGAGGCAUGUAGCCUAGUGGUUUAGAGGGGAGGCAGGUAGCCUAGUGGUUUAGAGGGGAGGCAUGUAGCCUAGUGGUUUAGAGGGGAGGCAGGUAACCUAGUUGUUAGAGCGUUGGACUAGUAACCGAAAGGUUGAUGGAUCGAAUCCCGGAGCUGACAAGGUAAAAAUCUGUCGUUCUGCCCCUGAACAAGGCAGUUAACCCACUGUUCCUAGGCCGUCAUUGAAAAUAUUUUCGAAUUUGUUCUUAAAACUGACCUACCUAGUUAAAUAAAGGUUAAUAAUAAUAAUAAUGCAGACCACAGAUGAAGGAGAGGAGAGCAAGUCAUUUUACACCACUUGAACUAGUUCUGAUUUGGAAAACAGAACAUCUGAACUGACAACUCCAGUCAGCUUUGAGACUACGCUGUAUCUAAACUGAUUACUACAUGUGAUGUCGGGAUUGACACUAGUUUGUACAACAUAUGAGUCCAAUAUCUCUGGCAAACUCGAGGUCAUUUAAAAAAUGAAUUGGUAUUAUAAUUUCUAUUUAUUUGUUGUUUAUGGUCUGGAUCAUCUUGAGUGGCUUCACAAAUGGAACACUAUUCCCUGUAUAGUGCACUACUUUUGACCAGGGCCCUAUGGAGUAACUAGUGCACUACUUUUGACCAGGGCCCUAUGGAGUAACUAGUGCACUACUUUUGACCAGAGCCCUAUGGAGUAACUAGUGCACUACUUUUGACCAGGGCCCUAUGGAGUAACUAGUGCACUACUUUUGACCAGGGCCCUAUGGAGUAACUAGUGCACUACUUUUGACCAGAGCCUUAUGGAGUAACUAGUGCACUACUUUUGACCAGAGCCCUAUGGAGUAACUAGUGCACUACUUUUGACCAGAGCCCUAUGGAGUAACUAGUGCACUACUUUUGACCAGAGCCCUAUGGAGUAACUAGUGCACUACUUUUGACCAGAGCCCUAUGGAGUAACUAGUGCACUACUUUUGACCAGGGCCCUAUGGAGUAACUAGUGCACUACUUUUGACCAGAGCCUUAUGGAGUAACUAGUGCACUACUUUUGACCAGAGCCCUAUGGAGUAACUAGUGCACUACUUUUGACCAGAGCCCUAUGGAGUAACUAGUGCACUACUUUUGACCAGGGCCCUAUGGAGUAACUAGUGCACUACUUUUGACCAGGGCCCUAUGGAGUAACUAGUGCACUACUUUUGACCAGAGCCCUAUGGAGUAACUAGUGCACUACUUUUGACCAGGGCCCUAUGGAGUAACUAGUGCACUACUUUUGACCAGAGCCCUAUGGAGUAACUAGUGCACUACUUUUGACCAGGGCCCUAUGGAGUAACUAGUGCACUACUUUUGACCAGAGCCCUAUGGAGUAACUAGUGCACUACUUUUGACCAGAGCCCUAUGGGGUAAGUCGUGCACUAUAUUAGGGAAUAGGGUGCCAUUUUGGGGAGUACCAAAUAACAAAAAUUGAAGUUUUUGUUGAGCAGCUAUGUACUCUUAGCUACACAAUGAAAUACUCCCUGCUGGGACAAUAAAGUUUGAAUUGAACUGGUCUCUUUAAUAUGGUUGUAAACACACUGUACACACACCAGGAACAGUAGACCUGACAUCCGGACCCCCUCAAUACACACCAGGAACAGUAGACCUCACAUCCUGACCCCCUCAAUACACACCAGGAACAGUAGACAUCACAUCCUGACCCCCUCAACAGGAGUAAUUUCACUGUAUGAUUCUGUCCCAAAUGGCCCAGGUGAAAAGUAGUGCACUUGUUACUCCAUAGGGUCUGGUCAAAAGUAGUGCACUAUAUAGGGGAAUAGGGUGCCAUUUUGGCCAGAGACUAUGAUUAGUUCCUUGUUGUUCAGAGAUGUAGCCUAGGCCUAGAUCUGUAAUCUACAGACUCUUUGUUAGGCUACUUCUCUAAUCACUCUCACAGGUGAGGUUUAAUCCAAAGUAUUCCGUCUCUGAAUCCACCGUUGAAUCAGAGUCCUCUUCCUGUGUGUCAUUUCCUUGUAGUGCUGAUGAUGCAUGUCCCGCUUCCUCUGUUUCUGUCUCUCCUAGCAGGGAACCCCUGUCUUUCUCUUCUUCUCUCUCUUCCUGUACUGUUGAUCCUCUAUCCUCCUCUCUUUCUGUCUCUUCUGACAGUGGACUCCACUCUUCCUCAUCUUCUUCACCCUCUUCCUCCAGUGGACCCCAGUCCAGCUCUAUUUCAAACUCAUCCUCCACUGGCCCCCCGUCCUCCUCUCUUCCGGUCUCCUCUGUCGGUUUAGCCGUAGGAGGAGGUCGUGGGCAGACUUCACCGCUGACACUAUGUUGGAAAAACAGCUCACAGUCCUCCCUCCAGCAUUUGAUGUUGAUGUUGUACCCAGCUGCCUUCAUCUCUUUCUGCUUAUUUAGGACAUUGCUAUGUGUGGUUGUUAUGCCCAUUUUAGAGAGUCUUUUGAAAAUGGGCUUAACCCCCCCUUGGGUCAGUGUUGUGUUGAUGACAUAGGCCAGUGCAGAAAGCCUGGGGUUUCUACCUCUCAGGACCACAGAGGCAGCCACACAGUUAUGGAUGGUGGAACCACCUGUUGCAGUAUUGAUGGUGGUAUAAAGCCAUGGUGUCUUCCUGGACAACUCAUUAUCCAACGCUUCGUAUGAAAAAUACUUCAUUUUCUCCAACGAGGUACUACUCAAAAUGCAAGGUUCAGCAGAGGUCAAGUAAUUUAAGGGUCUUGCAUAUGCCUUGACCUCUGCUUCUAUUUUCUGCGUCAUCUGCUUUCUGAUUUCUUGACACAUGGUCUCAUUCGUCAAGGCUAACCUGACAAAUGUCGCCAGUUUGCCUUUCGCCAGGUUUUCAACCAUUCCAGAAAAUUCUGAUGAAACCUUCUUGACCCUCUUUGGAUCCAAUUGGUUCGGGUAUGUUAUGACAACC